CAUGGCCGAAAUUCACAAGGGGAAACCAUGGCUAGGGUUUUUCAAGCUUCCAAGAUCGAUUUGCCAUCAAGCUAGCUCGGGUUGGAGAUCGCUGGAGAUCCUAUCACACUAUCAAGCUAUCAUUUUAAGUGUUGAUGAAUUCAAGUAUUUUGAGUUAUGGCAUGUAUUUGGUCAUUUCGUUAUAUGCAUCAUAUGAUUUUAACCAAUGUAAUGGCUUGUAAUCGUCAAAGGCUUGUUUUGCUAUAUGGCCAUGUAAGUUGGCUUAUAGUGGUAACAUGAUUGUAAGGCUAAGUAUAUUUAUAUAUGUGUCAAUGUCUAUGGUGUAAUGAUCAUGGUAUGCUUGGUGAACGUGAAAUAUUUGGAAAUGUGAUUUAUGACAGGAUUAUGUAAUGUUUGGAAUUGUGACCUAUUGAUGAGAUGAAGAAGUUGAGUAUAAUUUGGUAACUA